rnacentral:lncRNA from 1 species
AGCGGGUAAACUAUUGCCCGUUUUCUCAAAAACUAGAAUAACGCGAAAAAUAAAAUUCCAAGGACACAAGAACAUCCUCCUUCCUAUAAGAAGACCAGGAAAACAAACCCCGUUCCGUUCCGACACUCGAGCACAAAACAGGCACGAUCUCAGCAAACUAUGUCGUUAUAACGACGAUACUCGAACUAAUAACCUUCGAACCCUAAUUAACCUAUCCACAAUCCAUGGUCUUUCAAU